rnacentral:tRNA from 1 species
GGUUAUUUGGUCUAGUGGUAUGAUUCUCGCUUUGGGUGUGAGAGGUCUUGAGUUCAAUUCUCAGAAUACUCU